GAUAAAUAAGCUUCCCUAUAAACUCUGAGAGAGAGAGAGAGAGAGAGAGAGAGAGAGAGGGAGGGAUGCCUGAAGGGGUGACAGUGGGCAGUGAGCUUAAACAGACCAUAUAUAAGGUAGCCUGCCAGUGCUCCUCACACUUUAGAGACAUCACAGCAGUGUUUUGUCACUUCCAGUGUUGAAUUGAACUGGUUUUCUACUCUAACUUCCAACACCAAGUGUAUUAAGUUGGUUAAGAGGGCAUUGGCGCAUGCACGGAGGCCGCGCGCUUGUACAGAGGCCCAAAGGGGCCGGAAAUGUUCAGUUUUACCCGGCCGUGGUGGUGAUGAAGAAGGCUGGCGGGGGGAGAGGGAACCCACACGGACACCCCCCCCCGCAGCUUCAGCAAG